GUUAGCCAUGUAAGAGGAUACGGCCGGCGGGGACCCACUGGGCGUCAGAAGCUUGCACGCAAGCUUUCUGAGAAAUGUAUUGCUUCAAUCGACUACAUUUACCAUCAACACUGGUCGGACAUCCACAUACAAAGGUGCCGGAUCUAAAGCGAGAACAAGGCUUAUGACAAGAAGAACUUUGCAAUACAGGCGGCGACCACAGAAACUUGGUAGAGCGUCUCCGGACUCAGACCGUCCAGCACGGUGUUGGUCUCGUGUCCCGGCACCGUUUUAUCCCCGACCUCCUCCGAGAACAGCGACUU